rnacentral:rRNA from 1 species
UAGGGAAUCUUCGGCAAUGGGGGCAACCCUGACCGAGCAACGCCGCGUGAGUGAAGAAGGUUUUCGGAUCGUAAAGCUCUGUUGUAAGUCAAGAACGAGUGUGAGAGUGGAAAGUUCACACUGUGGCGGUAGCUUACCAGAAAGGGACGGCUAACUACGUGCCAGCAGCCGCGGUAAUACGUAGGUCCCGAGCGUUGUCCGGAUUUAUUGGGCGUAAAGCGAGCGCAGGCGGUUUGAUAAGUCUGAAGUUAAAGGCUGUGGCUCAACCAUAGUUCGCUUUGGAAACUGUCAAACUUGAGUGCAGAAGGGGAGAGUGGAAUUCCAUGUGUAGCGGUGAAAUGCGUAGAUAUAUGGAGGAACACCGGUGGCGAAAGCGGCUCUCUGGUCUGUAACUGACGCUGAGGCUCGAAAGCGUGGGGAGCGAACAGGAUUAGAUACCCUGGUAGUCCACGCCGUAAACGAUGAGUGCUAGGUGUUGGAUCCUUUCCGGGAUUCAGUGCCGCAGCUAACGCAUUAAGCACUCCGCCUGGGGAGUACGACCGCAAGGUUG